rnacentral:rRNA from 1 species
AUGAGCCUGAGGCACGCGAGCAGGGUGCUGCUGAGGGCGGCGCAGGCCGUCGUGAGGGCGAGGCUGCAGCCGCCGGCGGCGGCCAAGCCGGCUGCUGCUGGCGCUCUGAAGCCGCCGGUGUCGGGAGCCGCUCACCCGCCGCAGCAGCAGGCCAGGCGGCUCUCCGGCGGCCUGGCCGACGCGUCGACGCAGAGGGCCAAGACGAUCAGGAGGAGGGCCGAGAAGUCCGAGAACGUGAUGCACUCGUGUGCUGGGGACCCAGCUAGCCCCUGCUGGCUGUUCGUUCGUUCUCGAGUAUCCAAGGCACGGUGA